rnacentral:lncRNA from 1 species
AUGCAGGCGGAAAAGGAAGGUCCUUUGCAGUCUGCUAAGGAAGACGAUGGGAGUGGAAUGGCCGUGGAUGCUUUCUACCUUCAAUCGCUUAUUACUGAUGCUUUCCAUGAUAAAGGAUUUCAAAAAAUAGAAGAGUAUUUUCAACAGAGAGAGCACCACAUUCCUCAAAAAUAUAAUCAUCUUCUGUUAUACCGUCUUGACAGAUCAAUAAGCAAGGAACUGGAUAAAAAUGAGUUUCGGAAUGUUUCACUGUUGCUGAAAUGUAUUCAGCGCUUCCUCAUAGAUGGCCUCAGAGAAGAUGAGCCUCUGCUAGUCCAACAGAGACUGAUCCCAAAGAUGGUUUCCUGGUUUGAAAGAACAACAGGAUUUCUGACCAUGGCAGAUCUAGCCUCCGACACAUCCCUGGUUAAUGUUACAGAAGACUUCUUUGACACGGCGUUGAUUAUUUCCACGAGGAGUAGUAAAGGGAAAAUUCAGAUGCUGGAUUCCUUCAUAUUUCCCUUAGGAUCUCUGGUGACAGAAAAGACUGUAAAUCAUUUGAUUCAACGGGAGGCUUUGAAGACUUUGAACUUCAUUUUGCAGGCUGUGCCUCGGGAAGAGAGAAAACAACUCUCCUUGUCAGAAGGCCCGUGUCUUCUUAUGAAGGAUCUUGCAAGGACAAUCUUGACUGUGGGUGAUUAUGACCAGCAGGUUGCUCUCUCUGAAGCGUUGUGUAGACUGACAACGAAGAAGUCAAGGGUUGACCUUGUCCAUCAGUGGUUUGAAGAUGAUGUCAUUGCUGAAGCUUUCAAAGAAAUUAAGGAUCGAGAAUUUGAGACGGACAGUAGACAAUUUCUCAAUCAUCUAAACAACAGACUUGGUGACCAAAGAAGGGUCUAUUCGUUUCCAUGUAUGGCUGCUUUUGCUGAUGGGAAUGAGAUGAAAAAACCAGCAGAUGAAAAAUUAGAGAAAUUUUGGAUUGAUUUCAACCUAGGAAGUCAGAGUGUAACUUUUUAUAUAGACAAUACUGAGAGCGCUCUGUGGGACUCAAUUAUACUUUCGAAGGAAGCAGUGAUUAAUUUCAGCAUAAUAGAAACCGAGAGGAUGAAGAUGCUCGUCAUUAACCUGAAGCCUAUUAAUAUCAGAAACAAAGAAGUAAUGAAAAUAGAAAUCCAUUUUGAUUUGCAAUUCGACAUAUCAGAAGCUUCCAUUAAAGCAUUAGGAGAAGACAAACAGAUGUUGCCUGACCAGACAAAAUUCUCAGAACAUUUUGGUGAAUUUGCGAAAGACGACAUUGAAUUUCCCAGCAGCGACAAAAGAGAGACAGACCAAGCAGAAGAAUCUACCAAGCUGGCAGAGUUAACAAGUGCUGGAGAUGACCGCUGCCUAAUAACUCUGCCCUUUAACCAGUCUGAGCCUGCUAAGCUUGAUUACAGGAAACACCUCUUCUCAGAGAGUAAUCCAGAUUCAAGCACCAGUACCAGUGAGCUGCCUUGGACAAAUGACCAGAAAAGAAAAUCCCUAAAACCAUAUUCUGGUAGAAAAAAGACAAGAAUCAGAAGUAGGGUAAAAAUCUUGCCACUCUUCCCUCCCAGUAGUGGCAGUGACCGUGAGAAAGACGAAGCUAAACUUCUAUCACCUUUAAAAAAUACCUCCAGGCAAAAUAAUGCCACACCUCCAAAAGUUUCUGGAAAAAAAUUUCAGGGUAGUUCUGUCUUUUUAACUCCUGAAGAUUCUGCCCAGAAAACAGAACUUCAAAGUCCCCACCCACUGAGCAAUCUCUCUUCCUUGGAGCACUCAGGAGUUGAAGAAAAUGUAUCUAAGACUGUGAACCAAGAGUCAUUGAUGAAAAGUACUAGCUUCAAACAUAAACUGCAAAACUUGGAAGACAGAGACAUAUCAGAUGAUAGUUUUGCUAAGUGGAAACAGUCAAAAUUGGAAGAAGAUGAUGUUCCAGGCUCCCUUUCCUCAGUGACAGAAGAAGCAGACUUGGCAGAAGGCAUUUCUACUCCAUCCCUAGAAGUUGUGCUAGAGAACUUGAAUGAUUCUUCCAUUAUCACAACCUUUGAAAACUUCACUAGAGAACUGAAAAGACAGUACGAGUUAAGGUACAGAAGGAGUCUACUUCAUUCAAAAAAUGUAAAGCAAGCACCGGAUUGCCUAAUGAAACUUUUAAACCAGAUACAUCAGUGCAGACUGAAUAAACUAGAGCAGUUUCGCACUUUUGUUCUUCAAGAGCUGAGCAACCUUGAGGAGGCUAUUCAGGAUCUGAAACACCUUGAGAAGGACGUUCUGGAAUUUUGUAGGAAACAGUCUGACGAUCUGAAAUCAUUCUGUGAUCUGCAAGUGUUGAGGCUUAAUCCCAUUCAGCCUUCAUAG